rnacentral:rRNA from 1 species
GAUGAAGGCAUUCGGGUCGUAAAACUCUGUCAUCAAGGAAGAUAAUGACGGUACUUGAGGAGGUAGCCACGGCUAACUACGUGCCAGCAGCCCCGGUAAUACGUAUGGGGCUAGCGUUAUCCGGAUUUACUGGGCGUAAAGAGUGCGUAGGCGGUCUUUCAAGUCAGGACUGAAAGGCUACGGCUCAACCGUAGUAAGCUCAUGCACUGUCU